rnacentral:tRNA from 1 species
UCUUCGGUAGUAUAGUGGUGAGUAUAUUCGCCUGUCAUGGAUACAGGAAAUCAUAUCCUCGGACAGUCUCGCGAAUGACCCGGGUUCAAUUCCCGGCCGGAGAG